GAGAGGUGUGAAGCAUUUUGUUUUCAAAAGAAACGAAACUUCUCCCGAAGCACAUCUUUCUCAUUUCCAUCGUUACUUUUACUAAAACUAAAAGAGAGCAAAAGUUCUUCGGGCGUUGACAACGAAAGGUGUCUAACACUUCGAGUCAAUAGACUAACGAAGUCAUCGGUAGACCGCAAGUCUCCUGAUGUCAAUUAUCAAAUACCUGGUGGGAUGGCCGUCCCUUAGUGAACUCGCAAGGUUUGACAGAGUAAAGUAGUAGUUGAGUAGUUGUUAACGAAAAGAGUGGUUCACUCAAAUAACCGACACUGACUUGAUACUUUCGGCAACGAGAGUGGAUACAUGAGCAACCGAUAUAGGGUAAUCUCACUAAAGACAAGUCACCAUAAACGUGUAAUCUCAGCGU
rnacentral:ncRNA from 1 species